ACCUCCUGCAGGGAAAGGCAGCAGAGCGGUGAGCUGUGAGCGGCAGCGAGGCCGACCCCCUCCCCGCUCCCCGGGGCAGCUCCAGGAGGAGCUUUACUGGCAAGGGAAUUAUUGUCAGCCACCGGCCGGUCCCAGCAGAGGACCUCGGUGGCUUUGCUCCUGGAGGGCCACCUGCUGGCUGAGCUCACGGUGGCUCUGGUCCCCCGGGAUCCGCCACUGGGAAGUCUGUAGGACAGCAACGAGGUGCUGCUCACAGCCUCGUCGUGCAAAACCAGCAAAUCUGUGUGUUUCACCGUGAAAUGAGCAUCCCCAGCCGGUCAGGGACUGGUAGAAGACAGCUUUGGGAAUGGCUCCACUAGCCAGGAAGGAGAAAGCAAAGCCCCAGGCCAGGACAAGGGUCCCCGAGCCUCGAGCAGAGGCCGCACGUGGAGGUUUGCGGGCUGCGUGCUCCGCCGUUGCGGUGUGGAGCCCUCAGUCCCAGGAGCGAGCGCCGCAGGAUGGGAGACUGCACACCUCGACCCACGCGCCUCUGAUCGAACAUUUCAGUGAGCUGUGCAAGCAUGCAGCACGCUCUGCCGCCCGGAGGGCUGGAGGGGACAGAAACUGGAGCAGAGGAAGCACCUUCUCAGCUCGCUGCUCCCCGUGCAGCCCCCCUGCCGCAGCCCAGCACCGAGACCCCCAGGAAGACGUGCCACGGGAUGGGGUAACUUGUCACUGCCCCGGCUGCUGCCAGGGAAAAGCAGCAAAGUCAACCACCCCCUGCUGGAGCAGGACGGGCUGUUUCCAGCCACGGCUCGGUGCCACGUUUCAGGUUGGAAAUGUUUGCUUUGCCCUGCUAAAGAGCAGAGUUUGCAAAGUCUCUGGGGGGGGGAAUCGUGCUGAGCUACGAUAAUCCAGCCCGCCCUGCUUCCUGCCUUUCCCUAAAGGGCCACGAACCCCAGCCACGCGGCGCUUUCUGUACCUCGGCCCAUAAUCACUCAGUCAACUUCUACAACACCAAAUAUCACUGCAGACAGGUGCGUGGGUGCCGCAGCAUCCCCACGCGUCCGCCUCGAUUCGCUGCUUGCUUGGCUCGAGGCGUGUAACGGGACAUCUUCAACGACGGCAGCAGCGCCUUUCACCAACCUCCUGCCAGCGCGUUGGUUUGCUUUCUCCACCAUUACCCCCUUCCUAUCGCAAAACCACAAUGUCCCAGUUUGCCUGUCAGGAGAAUAACAGGCUGCGCUCUCAGCCCAGGCCUCGGCCAGAGGUCCCUGCUGCCGCCUGGGCUGCUGCAAGAGCCCCGCUGCCGCCAAUGCCCUGCCCUUUGGCCCCGGCGGCGUUUUCCACCGUGAAACGGCUAUUCGGGGAGGAGGGAAAACCUACAGCGAGGAUGCGUGGCGAGAGAUGAGUUUCUUUGACAUUCCCGGGACCCUACAAGAAGUUUCCCUCGCUUUGUCUCUCGCUGUCCGAGAGGGGCGGGUUCUGGGGGGAAGGGGCUCCCCUCGCCCCCGACGCCUGCUGCCUGCGCAGCGCCGAAGGGUUGGGGGGCCGGGAGGUGCGAGGGCGGUCGUGCCAGCGCGGUCGUGCCGGACACCUCGCAUCGGGCGCCGGCUGCAGCAGGGCCCUGCCGGGGGACCCCAAAUCUGCGGGGCGUCGCCCCCAGACCCUCCCCACCCCCGCCCCAGCAGGUGCAGCCCGGCCCGGGACAGCGGCAAGGGCGGCCGGAGGCAGCGGUGCCCGGUGCAACCGAUGCGUCCCGCUGUCCCCGCCGGUCCCGGCCCGUCCCGGGGGCGGCUGCGCCCCCCGCCCGCGCCCCCCACCCCCGGCAGCGCCCGCUGCCCGGCUCGGGGGGCCGGGGGGCGGCGGGGCGGACUCACC